GCGAGGGUGUCUGAGCCUGGCCAAAAGAGCGGGACUUAAGAUCCCGUCACGAAGGUGUUCGUGGGUUCGAAUCCCACCCCUCGCA
rnacentral:tRNA from 1 species